rnacentral:lncRNA from 1 species
UGUUUUAGCUUUUGUUUAAUUCUUCAUUGGCAAUCCCUCAUUAUUCCCCUUUGGAAUGAGUCUGAAUCUUUGUUUUUGUUUGUUUGUUUGUUUGUUUUUCUGUUGCUGGGAUUAAAAUACUGAAAAAAGUAACUGAAGGAAGAAAAGUUUUAUUUCAACUCAUAGUUUCCAGGUUGCAGUCAUCGUUGCCAGCAAGAUACAGUAGCAUGAGCUUGAGAUAGCUGGUCACAUUUUAUCCAUAGUUAAGAAACAGAGAUUGUAAAAGGCUUGCACAGUUCUCAGAUCCUUAUCCUCUUUUUAUUUAGUUCAGGGUGUAGCCCAAAAAAUGGUACCACCCACAUUUAGGAGUCAUCUCAGUUAUCAGUCACCAGUUAACCCAACUGAGACAAUCCCUCAUGGGUAUGAACAGAGUCCCAUCUGCCAGAUGUUUCUAUAUUUUGUCAAAACUAACAACACUAACCAUAGAAUGUUGACUCUGUAUUCUUGUAUAUUGGUACCAUGUAACUAAAUUUUUUUUAAUAUUACAGGUCAGUAGUUCUCAACCUGUGGCUCAUGAUCCCCCUGGCAAACCUAUAUAUCCAAAACCUUUUACAUUACAAUUCACCACAGUAGCAAAAUUGCAGCUCUGAGGUAGCAGUGAAAAUAAUUUUAUGCUUGGAGGGGGUCACUUCAGCAUGAGGAUUUAUACUAAAGGGUUGCAGAAUUCAGAAUGGCAAGAACCACUGUUACAGGGACUCACUUAAGUAGUUUCACUGAACCUCAGAAAAGACUUUGACAUUUGGAAUUUUGAUCAAUUUUGCAUUUGUUGUCUAUAGGUACUUGGAAGUUGGACUAAAUGUAUUAGCAUGAGAGGACUAUGAGUCCAUAGGGACCAGUGGCAGAAGGCUGUGGUUUGAAUGUGAAGUGGUUUUGGUCAGCCUAUGUGUUUCAGUAUUGGUUUUCAGGCGGUGGUAUUGUUUGGAAGGAGUGUAGAAUCUUUAGGAAGUGGGGUUUUGCUAGAAGUGUCUCAAUGGGAUGGCCUUGAACCUUUGUAGUUCAGAACUGCUUCCUGUUUUCUGUUUGCUCACCAUCAAGAAGCAGAGAGAGAUGAAUUGCUGAAUGCUCACUCUUUCUUCUUCUCAUUCAGUCCAGGACCCUGUCUCUGUGAAACAGUAUUCUCCACAGAGUGAGCUGUUCUACCUCAAGUAAACAUCUCUGGAAAUGCCUUUUCAGGCACAACCAGAAGUCUUAUCUCAUAGUUAACUCUAGAUUUAGUCAAUUUCACAGUCAAGCUUAAUUCCCACAGGUACUUUAUCAUGGAAUAUCUCCAAUUUCUCCUACCUAUUCCUUGUUGAAUUGCUGUUAUUCAUUUUUCUUACCCAAGAGCUAGAAUCAUCUCUUGCAUUAUUACCACCAUUAUUUCAAGUAAGUAGUCAUCUUUUAUAUAAAUAAAGAAUAGCAAAAUUAACAGUAUAGUGGGGCAGGAGCCAUCAGUGAUUCCUAUGUGCACAAGAACUUAAAAAAAUGUUAAAGCCAGACAGAAGGAUUUGCAAUACCUGAAAGUAAAAGUGAAGCAAAUACAGAGCUUUUUACCCAGAAUACCAAACAGCAGUACUGAAAGUUUCCAGAAAUAAAGAUACUAGGAAAACCCUGGAAAGGAAAGAGCUAGAAUUAUAGUGAUUGAAACUGGACUAGGAAUAUUUCAGAACCUCCCUGGAAACUUGCUGGUUGAUAUCAGGAGGGAAAGAGAGAGAGAGAGAGAG